CGUUAAUCGAUGAAACCUCCCAGUCUGGUGGGACCAGCCAGAGGCGCUCAAGCAGGAGGAUACCUUUCAUGGAUUUCCUGGAUUUAUUCUCCUGCUGCCAGGAAAGCUCGGUGGAGAGGCCAUCUGACUGGGCCUGGAAGUGGUUCAUCUGAGACCAG